rnacentral:rRNA from 1 species
UACGAAGGGGGCUAGCGUUGUUCGGAAUUACUGGGCGUAAAGCGCGCGCAGGCGGUUCUUUAAGUCAGGGGUGAAAGCCCAGAGCUCAACUCUGGAAUUGCCUUUUGAAACUAGAGGACUUGAGUACGGGAGAGGUGAGUGGAAUUCCGAGUGUAGAGGUGAAAUUCGUAGAUAUUCGGAAGAACACCAGUGGCGAAGGCGGCUCACUGGCCCGUUACUGACGCUCAGGCGCGACAGCGUGGGGAGCAAACGAGGAAUUGAUA